AAUCCAUGCAUUAGGCAUUUACGUAAAAAAUCCUUGAAACGUUCCCAUGCCUUAUACAAAUUAUCAUUCUCCAACUGCUUGAAGGAUGUUAAGUCAAUUCUAAACUU